AUUGAACGCUGGCGGCAUGCCUUACACAUGCAAGUCGAACGGUAACGGGCCUUCGGGUGCCGACGCGUGGCGAACGGGUGAGUAAUACAUCGGAACGUGCCCGAUCGUGGGGGAUAACGAGGCGAAAGCUUUGCUAAUACCCCAUACGAUCUACUGAUGAAAGCAUGGGACCGCAAUGCCUUGCGCGGACGGAUCUGCCGAUGGCAGAUUAGUUAGUUGGUUGGAUAAAAGCUUACCAAGCCGACGAUCUGUAGCUGGUCUGAGAGGAUGAUCAGCCACACUGGGACUGAGACACGGCCCAGACUCCUACGGGAGGCAGCAGUGGGGAAUUGUGGACAAUGGGCGCAAGCCUGAUCCAGCCAUGCCGCGUGCAGGAUGAAGGCCUUCGGGUUGUAAACUGCUUUUGUACGGAACGAAAAGCCUUCUUUUAAUACAGGAGGGUCAUGACGGUACCGUAAGAAUAAGCACCGGCUAACUACGUG
rnacentral:rRNA from 1 species